GGAUAAAGGAAACAGAUUCAGUGAUGGAAAAAGAGUUAACAGAAUGAUUGGCUCUGAACUUGGGCUAGUAAAUGGGUACAAGUGUAUUGUUAUUGGUUAUAAGUGGACAGAUUUGGGUCGCUUUAUUGCUCCACUCCUUGUUUAUUGGUGACACAUUAUAGGAGCUGAUCAUGGGCUUGAAUCACUACGAUGUGAUGACCUGCAGCUAUUUGUAUUUGAUUCAAUUUUUUUAAUGGUGGGGUUUGAUAUGGUUCCGCGGGUCAGUAUGAUAAAAUAUAGGUUCUGUUUUCCUUCCUAGAAAACAGUACUCUUAUGGCUAUGCAAUGGUUUAAUCAUAAUUCAUGCAAUCGUUAUGGGUUUAAUGGUUGAUGGUAUGAGGGAGCGGGCAGGUUUUGAGGUUUGGUGGUUAUGGCUCUCUACAAAGAGGGGUCGCGGAAAGAGCUUUAUGGUGUUACGAGAACGUACAAGAUGGAGUGGUAAAGAUAAUUACGACACACUUUGGCACUGCAGUCGUCGGCUCCGACAUCAAGUCUUCUAUUGUCGAGUGGAGUUUUAAGUUGUUGACACUAAGAGCGAUAUUUGGCAAAGGGUCACUUUUGGAAAACGUUUUCAUUGAUAUGGUUAACUGCUGAUUUAAUGAAAUUGGAGGAAAGUAUAUUCACACUGGUGGGACUGGAUUCUUGGUUAUCAUUAAGCCCAAGUAUAAAAAAUAAAUUUUGUAUGGUAUUAUAUAGUGAAUGGGCUCGUUUAUUUUUAA